rnacentral:rRNA from 1 species
UACGUAGGGUGCAAGCGUUAAUCGGAAUUACUGGGCGUAAAGCGUGCGCAGGCGGUCGUGCAAGACAGAUGUGAAAUCCCCGGGCUUAACCUGGGAAUUGCAUUUGUGACUGCACGGCUAGAGUGUGUCAGAGGGGGGUAGAAUUCCACGUGUAGCAGUGAAAUGCGUAGAUAUGUGGAGGAAUACCGAUGGCGAAGGCAGCCCCCUGGGAUAACACUGACGCUCAUGCACGAAAGCGUGGGGAGCAAACAGG